ACAUAACGUAGUUGAUGGAGGGUGUACAUCAGGGUUGAAAGCCCCUCCAGUUCACUGUUGCACUGAGGUUUGGAACUGUCCCAAAUGCUGACCCUGCACAACUCUGCCUCCAGGCCAGCACAAGGGCACAGCACUGGCACUUGGGCUGCAAGCCUGCUGAAAUAUAGCAUCCUGAGCCUUUUAUCUGACAAUCUUUCCCAAAAACUCUUUAAGUAGCAGAACCCAACAUCCCAAUGAAGUUUAAUACAAGUCUAGUUAAAUAUUUAUGUCUGGUUUACAGGGAUGUUCAGAGGAGUUCCCAAGUUGUUUAGGUGAAGAUGUAUUUUUUUGUGUUUGUACUUUUUUGGUAAGGAAGCUCCAAUAAUCAGUAAACAGACAAUGGUUUCCAGUUCUCUUCACAGUCACUGGGGGGAUGAUUCACAUAAACUUGGAAAGAGUAUCACAUUGCAGUGGUAGAACACCGGAUAUGUUUACGUUGUAGUUGUCAGGGCAAGUAGAUUUUAAGCUAAUUUAUUGAUGGUAAGUUGUCCAAGCCCUUUGCAGAUGUGGUGAGAUUACCAGACUUUGAGAUAGAGGGUUUCAGUGGAGCACAGUGUUUAUGCUGCAGAAUAGAAGGACUGAGGAUUCAGAGGCAGAGCAAGCAUUAACAAGUGGAGGACAGGAGUUAGCAGGAAACCAUGGUACGGAAGCCAGGAUUUCUGAGUGGCAGAACAAUGACCCACACCUGCCCAGCACAGGCUGUUUCCUGCCUUGUCACAUGUGAACCACUGCAGGAGCUCAAGGAACAUGUCUGUGCCUGCUUACCUGUCCUUUGGAAACCAUGGAGCUGUUGCUGCUGCACUCUUUGUGAAGUAGAGAACAUUCCUAGAUCAUCUGUAUGGUGGUACAGCUGUGAGUGACCCAGAACUGCACAUCCUGCAACCGUAGUGUACCAAAAAUAAGGUAAAUUUUUAACUAGGUGCUGCUCUCAUCCCUGGUUAUGCUACAUGUGUACUUUUAUCCUUUGGAUUCUUAAACCCCAGAGACUGGGGGAGGAAGGAACUGUUAUAGGAACUG
rnacentral:lncRNA from 1 species